GGGAGAGAGCCACAACCAGGAACACAUGGGGGUGAGGGAGUCGAGUUCUCUGAAGAACAAUAGGCUACGGCGCCACAGAAACCACAGAGGAUGAUAACACUGUGCUUGUAGCUGUUGUAUGGCUGCCUUUGAAAACACGAGCCAGAAACUAAUGCUCCAAACCCAGCGGGUCGCCGGUGGGUCAGGAGGCGGCCACCAGAGAGAAGCGAAAGGUUUCUCUGGGUUGAAUGGAGGUGAAUGGGUCAUGGAUGGUUCCUCUCACCUGCCUUCAGCUCACAGUCUCCCAGGCUCAGGCUGAUGUCGUCCAACGCCACAGAGCCACAGUCCCAGAAACUCCUGCAGAUGCUGA